rnacentral:tRNA from 1 species
AUAGAUGUGCUGAAAUUUGGUAACCAGGUUCCGCUUAGGACGGAAUAGCUAAUAACUUUACAAGUUCGAGUCUUGUCGUCUAUAC